GAAGGGGGGUUUGUCACCAUGGCCUUGACCCUUGUCCUAAUCGUGCUCCUCUGUCACUGCACAGGUUCCCUGUCCCAGCCUGUGCUGACUCAGCCAUCGUCCCUCUCUGCAUCUCUGGGAAUGACUGCCAGACUCACCUGCACCCUGAGCAGGGACAUCAAUGUUGGAAGAUAUAACAUAUACUGGUACCAGCAGAUGACUGGGAGUUCUCCCCGCUAUCUUCUGUACUACUACUCAGACUCAGAUAAGCACCAGGGCUCUGGGGUCCCCAGCCGCUUCUCUGGAUCCAAAGAUGGCUCUGCCAAUGCAGGACUUCUGCUCAUCUCUGGGCUGCAGCCUGAGGACGAGGCUGACUACUACUGUGCUAUAAUUCAUGGCAGUGGGAGCAACUAUCAUUACUCACAGUGUCACAGAUAACAAGGAAGUGAGACAAAAACCACCGCAUCUCUUUUAUUGAGACGCUUCAGUGGAGGCUUCUGUUGGAGAUACUUCUCUGUGGUGAAACCUGUCCUUAAGGAGGAAGAAAUGACACUCAGAGAUUAUACUACUGCCUGAGGCAGCACAGGCAUUCUGGGAGUACUCACAGGUGAGGGAAUAGAGCCCAAAACACAUGCCCAGUGUCUAGAAACCAUAGGUAAAUCCACUAUGAUUAUACAAACCCAGUUAGAGUUUUUAGUUGUAAUCAUUUUGCAGAAACAAUUGAGUUUAGAUCUCCUAGCUGAAGCCCAGGGGGGAGUCUAUGUCCUGUUAAAGGAACAAUGUUGCUUUUGGUCAAUCAAGGACAAUAAAAGAAAAAGUCUAUAAUUUGAUUGAAUGGGCGUUUUCCCCCUUGGACCGUGCAACAAAAAGAUUGUUUUCCUGGAA